CAAGCCCCGAGGCAAGCCCAUGGGUCUGCGGGCAGCGGCGGAGGCGGCAGCAUCUCUGGAAGGCAAGGGCGGUCAGCGCAGCAGCCUCAUCUCAUCCCUCUCGGCGCCAAAGGGAAAAGCCCCGAGCGGCCAAAGUAUCCCUUUUGAGAUGUGACCAUAGAAGGAUCUGCAUUGGAGCUCCUUUCUUUUUUGAGGUUUUCAUCUGAAAUGCAGCCCCGCAAACUAAUUAGGUGGACCUCUACCAAAUUAGUUUGCCAAUGGACCUCUAGUGAUGGUGUACACAUUCUGAGCAUGCUCAUUGAGCAAGGGAUGAUCUCAGAUACUAGAGAAAGGUGACAUAACUGGAGUUGUAAUGAUGAAACCCACUGGUUUGUGUGGGAUGAUUUGCUGGACCUACGUGAGCUUUUACCAAUGCCUGUUCAAAAUAUUUUACAGAUUUUACUUCUAGUACUUCUUGCAUGUUACCCUAGUAAUUAAAAUUUACUGUAACCAUAUAAUGUUUGCAGAAGUCAAAGGCUUUUUUUUCUUCAAAAGGAAUGUUCAGGAAAGCCAAAACCAGGACAUUUUUGUGGGAUUUCUGCUAGAAUGUUUCUGUAAUGAAAAUGAAACCUCUGUUAUGAAGCUUUUCCCUGAAAAAUACUCUAGAGGGAGUCAAAUCUAAGAAAGUUUAUUUAUGUUUUAUGCAUUUCAACCAUGUGCCUUUCCAAAAACAUUCUGUGUGCUUCCUGUUUAUCUAGUUUAUCCCUGCCUAUUAAUAAGUAGCCUUUGUUUGUACAUAUUUGUACUUGUUCAGAUUGGACAAAUACUAAUGGCACUCAGAAAGUCAUUAUUUAAAGUUGCUUGUCUCUGUCAUGAGAUUAAAUAGUAUAAAAAUAAGGUUUGGCUUUAUAUUUUAACUAACUAAACAUAAUUUUUGUCAACUGAAAAGUUAGAAUGAAGAACGUGUAUAAACUAAAUAAACAGAGGGACAUACUGUUUUCAAGCUGGGUCAUUCCCCUGGGUAUUUUGUAUAAUUUUAGGAUGUUAUGAAAAUAAAUGUUUAGAUUUUGAAGGUGUUUGGAAAGGGACUUUAGAUCAACUUUUUUCUUCUAUUUAUAGAAAUAAUACUUAUUUUUUUCUUUGCUGUCCAACCUAGUUGAUGCAGUAGGAAAUGUGUGAUCUAUCUUAUAUCUUAGACAAAGGCAGCUAACAGUUGUUAGGACAGUGUGUAGAAGGAAGCAACAGUAAAUCAUUUUGAAUGUAUUUUACUUUGAAAACCCUAUGAUAACACUCACUGAGUAUUGUUUUGAUUGAGUUUUAACACUGUUGUUUUAUAUUCUUGUUUUAUUGAAUUGUGCUUUUAUCUGGAUUGUUAUAUUUAACUAUGUUUUAUCUAAAUUGUGUUUUUGCUUUGAUGGAUUGUUUUGUAUUUGUGUCUAUGGGCAUUUUGUCCCAUAUUAAGUCGCUCUGAGUAUGGGAUUUCCAGGUCAGAAGGCACUUAACCAGUUACUGGGGAUGACACAAUGAAAUGAAAGCCCCAAAAUGUACAAAGCAUAACAUAAAAACACAGAAUGCAGAAAUCAUGAAUUAGAGAAAUCUGGACAUUGUAACUCAAGAACUGGAGCAUCAAAACUUUGCUAUACUUGGAGUGAAACAGCUAAUGGGAUAAUUUCAGUCAGAUCCUUACAGUAUGUUUUACUAUGGAAAUGGUAAUCUAUGAAGAAAUGGGGUAGCAUGAAUAAUGGGGUGGCAUGAAGAGUGGGGUAAGAAGUAGCAAAAACAGUCAGGGGAUAUAAGGUGAAGUCUGAGAAAAAUUAAUGAGAUUUCAUGGAAUCCCUGGCUGGCAUCCUUUCAGUAUUUAUAAUGUCAUAAACCAGAUUUAUGUCACUCUUCAUUUUGGAGUUCACAUUAAUGGUUAUUGUACUAUUGCAACAAGUGGAUGUCCUCCUGAAACCUAUUGUUUUCUGCCCACCAAAACUAUGUGAGGUCCUAUUGCAGCUGUCUGUUGAAAAGUACCUCACUACAAGAAGAGGACUGAAAGCAUCAAAUCACACUGUCCUGCUCUCCAGGUUUUUUGGCAAUUUAUUCAUUAUGGUAGCUAUAUCUCCCAAUGCAGAAUUGUGGCACUUAUCAAUAUAACAUUUGGCCCAAUGCUACUGGCCCUGUUGUAACGGACACAGAGUGUUUUACUGUUUUAAUUGGGUAUGAUAUUGGUUUUUAAGUGUGUUUUACGAUUGUUGGUUUUUACUAUAUUUUGUCUUACAUGUGGCAGUAAUCUUGCAAUUAUAUAAGACCGCUCUGGGUCCCCCUGGGGGAAAAGAGCGGUAUAUAAAUUAAAUAAAUAAAUAAAUAAAUAAAACCAAUAUAGUGAAAUCCAAGUUUCUGCUUUCACCACAGAGACAGUAAAGAAAGAAGUGAGUGACUUGGAAAAAAAACCCUGAAACAAACCAAAACAGGCUAUGUUGAUAAUUAUAAGUAAUAGGUAUUCAAAAGUAGGAAAAAGGACAGAAGCAGAAAAUGUCUGAGUUUGGUCUAAGAUCAAGAACUGAAGCAGGAGAACAACAUAUCAAAAUUUCUGAGAGCACAAAAUUGCAAACUCACUCUUCAAGCAACUGAACAGAUGACUGUAUGUAUGGACA